AUUGAACGCUGGCGGCAGGCCUAACACAUGCAAGUCGAGCGGAUGAAGGGAGCUUGCUCCUGGAUUCAGCGGCGGACGGGUGAGUAAUUCCUAGGAAUCUGCCUGGUAGUGGGGGAUAACGUCCGGAAACGGGCGCUAAUACCGCAUACGUCCUGAGGGUGAAAGUUGGGGAUCUUCGGACCUCACGCUAUCAGAUGAGCCUAGGUCAGAUUAGCUAGUUGGUGGGGUAAAGGCCUACCAAGGCGACGAUCCGUAACUGGUCUGAGAGGAUGAUCAGUCACACUGGAACUGAGACACGGUCCAGACUCCUACGGGAGGCAGCAGUGGGGAAUAUUGGACAAUGGGCGAAAGCCUGAUCCAGCCAUGCCGCGUGUGUGAAGAAGGUCUUCGGAUUGUAAAGCACUUUAAGUUGGGAGGAAGGGCAGUAAGUUAAUACCUUGCUGUUUUGACGUUACCAACAGAAUAAGCACCGGCUAACUUCGUG
rnacentral:rRNA from 1 species